rnacentral:misc_RNA from 1 species
UCUCCGUAGGUGAACCUGCGGAGGGAUCAUUACAGCGUUCAUGCCGUACAGGGUAGAGCUAACACUUUAUGUUAUUAUUGAUUUGUUACUUUCGCGGGACGUUAAGCUACGACUCGCUUACCGCCCCCGCCGAGAAAGCAAGCGCCAGAGAACCCAAACCUCGGCAGAGUACUGUCGGCUUAACACUGUAUAAUAGGUAAAAUUGUCAACAACGGAUCACUUGCUUCUUGCAUCGAUGAAUAACGCAGUAGGGCUGUAGAGCACACAUCUGUACACCAC